GAUGAAGAACGUAGUGAAAUGCGAUAAGUAGUGUGAAUUGCAGAAUUUAGUGAAUCAUCGAAUCUUUGAACGCACAUUGCGCCCCUCGGUAUUCCGUGGGGCAUGCCUGUUCGAGCGUCAUUUACCCCUCAAGCACUGCUUGGUGUUGGGCGUCUGUCCCGCUUCGCGCGCGGACUCGCCCCAAAGGUAUUGGCAGCGGUCGUGCCAGCUUCUCGCGCAGCACAUUGCGCUUCUCGAGGCGGUCGAUCGGCGUCCACGAAGCUCACCUCCACCGUUUGACCUCGGAUCAGGUAGGGAUACCCGCUGAACUUAAGCAUAUCAAUAAGCGGACGA
rnacentral:misc_RNA from 1 species